GACGAACGCUGGCGGCGUGCCUAACACAUGCAAGUCGAGCGCGAUUGAGAAGAGUGAAGCUUCGGCGGAACAAAUCUCAUGAAAGCGGCGGACGGGUGAGUAACGCGUAGGUAACCUGCCCUUCACACGGGGAUAGCCACCGGAAACGGUGAUUAAUACCCGAUAGUCUUUUCUGUCGCAUGACAGAGAGGGGAAAGAUUUAUCGGUGAGGGAUGGACCUGCGUCUGAUUAGCUAGUUGGUAGGGUAAAGGCCUACCAAGGCGACGAUCAGUAGCCGACCGUAGAGGGUGAACGGCCACACUGGAACUGAGACACGGUCCAGACUCCUACGGGAGGCAGCAGUGGGGGAUAUUGCGCAAUGGGCGAAAGCCUGACGCAGCAACGCCGCGUGAAUGAUGAAGUCCUUCGGGAUGUAAAGUUCUGUCUUAUGGGAAGAAGAUGACGGUACCAUAAGAGGAAGCCCCGGCUAACUACGUGCCAGCAGCCGCAGUAAUAC
rnacentral:rRNA from 1 species